GGAUAAACUGAAACCAUCAAGAUUCUCAGUAACUUGAACACUAAAAUUUACACUCGAAUGAAAUGGAACUCAACAGAGUUCGAUUGUUAACCCCAAAUGUUAGAAGAAAUCAAUUCAGUUCAGAAGACAUUCUACGAUGACAGUGGUGAGGAAGAUAGUCACAUACACAUGAUCGGUGCUUGGAAGUCAACAUGACUGGAAUUAUCUUCUGAGUGGCAACCAAUGUUAAACUGUGGCAAGGAUCCAAAACAUCACAUGGGAAGAAAUGGCAAUAAGAAACCACGUUAUGAAUGCAAAGACAACAGAAAGCUCAAAUCUGCCACAGGGAAGAUGCGAUGAACUACUGCAAAAGUGUAAAUCUUUGGAAUACAAAACAGCAAUCCCUGCUGACGAGCAUGCAGCUGCUAGUGAUAAGGUCGCCGUUACCCAGUCUCCAACAACAAAAAGGCUC
rnacentral:misc_RNA from 1 species